rnacentral:rRNA from 1 species
GGAGGGUGCAAGCGUUAAUCGGGAAUUACUGGGGCGUAAAGCGCGCGUAGGCGGCUUGUCAAGUUGUAUGUGAAAGCCCCGGGGCUUAACCUGGGGAACUGCAUUCAAAACUGGCUAGCUAGAGUACAGUAGAGGUGAGUGGAAUUUCCGGUGUAGCGGUGAAAUGCGUAGAUAUCGGAAGGAACAUCAGUGGCGAAGGCGACUCACUGGACUGAUACUGACGCUGAGGUGCGAAAGCGUGGGUAGCAAACAGGAUUAGAGACCCUGGUAGUCCACGCCGUAAACGAUGAGAACUAGCUGUUGGGAUGGGAAGGCAUCUAAGUAGCGAAGCUAACGCAUUAAGUUCUCCGCCUGGGGAGUACGGUCGCAAGAUUA